AUGCACCCCCAACACUCUCGUCAAGUAUGGGCAAACUUAAUUUCUCAUAGGUAUCCUAUCGCCCUUGAGCCCUGUAACUUACCUACGGAGUCGGCGGUCUGCUGGGCAAGAAUGCCUAGCCUCAGCCCAGGGCUCUGUCAUUCCUAUUUUACUGGUAAAGAAACCAAAGAUCCUGGAGGACCCCUGGCUCUCCACCCCUCCAGUGCUUCUACAGGCACGAAUCUUAACCCGGUAACAGAUAGAAACAAGAGUAAAUGGUGUCCACCGCCACAUACAAGGACAGGGUCUCAUGAGACCAGUUCCUAUCCUAGUUCCUUCCGCUCAAAAGCACCAGUGCCCAAAAACCUCUGUCCAGGCCUAGGCAGACGGCACCGGUCCCCGCCAACAGGGGGCCCCCGAGGCCGAAGCUGGAGCCAUGCGGGGAGGCGGGAGUACCCCACACUGGCCGGGUGCGGCUGUAGAGGGUGCGGGGCUCGGAGUCCUGUGGGGUACAGGUUCUGCAUAUGCCCUGGGGAUCACAGACAACCCCUUCAGGACACCCCUCGGCGCGACGGCGCACACUCACCCGGGAGGCGGCGGGUCGCACUGGGUCUCGGCCCGGGGCUGGGGGUUCCGCGACACCCCCACCCCAGGCAAUCAUGGGCCGCGGAGCCGGAGCCUGGAAGCGCAGCGAGGAGAGGGCGCGCAGUCUGGGGACGGCGGUGGGAAUUAGGCAGCACGUCCCAAAGCUCGGAGAGUUGGAGGGAGGGACCGAGGGCGCCCUCGGGAGGCGCCGCCCACCUGCUCACCCUGCGCCACCGGGCGGGGAUCCGGACCCCGGGGCGGAGCAGGCUGGUGGGCCUGGCACUGCGCCGUGUAGCUCAGUGUCCCGGACCUAGCACUCUGCGGCAGGGGGGUGGCUGUCUAGGGGGACACUUGCGGGGUAAUAAGAGCUGGGAGUCCUUGCCACCUCACCUGGCGGUAAACUCACCUUCCUGUGCGCGCAGGCCGCCGCUUUCUCUCCACCGGUAG
rnacentral:lncRNA from 1 species